rnacentral:lncRNA from 1 species
CCCCGUUCACACUAGGACAUUUUUAUCGAUUUAAACUAGACCGGUUUACUUUAGAUCGGUUUAAGGGCUAAUGUGAACGCAUUGAAUCGAUUUUCAAUCGGUCUAAACUAAAACACCAAAAGAGGUAGUUUAGUUUGAAUCGAUCUAAAGUAAACCGAUCUUACUUUAGAUGUGAACGCAGAGAUCGGUUUAAACUAGUACGAUUGAAUCGAAAAUAACGUAUGCGCAUGUAUAGCGGCAAAACUAUCUCAGAGGUUCGUUGUUUAACCCAUAUUUCUCUGUUAAAAGACCUUUAAAACAAACUGUAAACAUGUUGUCUUCGCCAUAGCAUAGAUUUGCGAAAUCUGUGUCUUCUUUUCUUAUGUUGAUUUUUUUUUCUUUGCAGGAAGCGCAGUAUUUCCGGCGUCGUGUUGUAACUUCGUUGCUACAGUUAUUUUUUUUCAAAAUUAAAGAAAACUGCAAUAACACCAGUAUCAAAAUUUUAACUUGUGAUUCAAGAGAAACAAUAACUUUAUCCAAUUUUUUUCCCAAGUGUGUGUAUCAGUGUAUCAGCACAUGAAUUUGAUAAAUCAGUUCUAUU